rnacentral:rRNA from 1 species
GGCAGCACGGACUUCGGUCUGGUGGCGAGUGGCGAACGGGUGAGUAAUGUAUCGGAACGUGCCUAGUAGCGGGGGAUAACUACGCGAAAGCGUAGCUAAUACCGCAUACGCCCUACGGGGGAAAGCAGGGGAUCGUAAGACCUUGCACUAUUAGAGCGGCCGAUAUCGGAUUAGCUAGUUGGUGGGGUAACGGCUCACCAAGGCGACGAUCCGUAGCUGGUUUGAGAGGACGACCAGCCACACUGGGACUGAGACACGGCCCAGACUCCUACGGGAGGCAGCAGUGGGGAAUUUUGGACAAUGGGGGAAACCCUGAUCCAGCCAUCCCGCGUGUGCGAUGAAGGCCUUCGGGUUGUAAAGCACUUUUGGCAGGAAAGAAACGUCGUGGGUUAAUACCCCGCGAAACUGACGGUACCUGCAGAAUAAGCACCGGCUAACUACGUGCCAGCAGCCGCGGUAAUACGUAGGGUGCAAGCGUUAAUCGGAAUUACUGGGCGUAAAGCGUGCGCAGGCGGUUCGGAAAGAAAGAUGUGAAAUCCCAGAGCUUAACUUUGGAACUGCAUUUUUAACU